CCAUUGAGCUGUCGUACUGCCGCAGGACGGAGAUGCUUAAUGCGUUAGCUUGCAGCACUAAGGGGCGGAAACCCCCUAACACUUAGCACUCAUCGUGUUACGGCGUGGACUACCAGGGUAUCUAAUCCUGUUUGAUCCCCACGCUUUCGCACAUCAGACGUCAGUUACAGACCAGAAAGUCGCCUUCGUCCACUGGUGUUCCUCCAUAUCUCUGCGCAUUUCACCGCUACACAUGGAAUCUCCACUUUCCUCUUCUGCACUCAAGUUGUUCCAGUUUCGCAAUGACCCUCCACGGUUGAGCCGUGGGCUUUCACAUCAGACUUAAAAAACCGCCUACGCGCGCUUUACGCCCAAUAAUUCCGGAUAACGCUUGCCACCUACGUAUUACCGCGGCUGCUGGCACGUAGUUAGCCGUGGCUUUCUGAUCAUGUACCGUCAAGAUGUGCACAGUUACUUACACAUGUGUUCUUCCCUGAUAACAGAGUUUUACGAUCCGAAGACCUUCAUCACUCACGCGGCGUUGCUCCGUCAGGCUUACGCCCAUUGCGGAAGAUACCCUACUGCUGCCUCCCGUAGGAGUCUGGACCGUGUCUCAGUUCCAGUGUGGCCGAUCACCCUCUCAGGUCGGCUACGUAUCGUUGCCUUGGUAAGCCGUAACCUCACC
rnacentral:rRNA from 1 species